rnacentral:rRNA from 1 species
GUGUAAGCGUAGCGAUACGUUGAGCUAACCAGUACUAAUGAACCGUGAGGCUUAACCUGACAACACCGAAAGUGUUUUG